GUAGGUGAACCUGCGGAAGGAUCAUUAAUGAAUUUAGGGAAUUGAUGCUGGUACUCUGUACAUGUGCUCGUUCCCUCUAAUCCAUACACACCUGUGCACUUAUUUAUCGGGGUCGACUAGUAAAAUAGAAGACUCUGGUUAAAUCACAUACUCUUAUAAUUUACUUUGAAUGUUUAUCAAGUCGAAAGACUUUUAAAUUAAUACA
rnacentral:misc_RNA from 1 species